GUAAGAGCAGAGAGGCGUUCUCCGCGCCAGGGCCAGGAGGCAGCCUGGACGCUGCUUCACAGGCCAGCCCUGGGAUGGAGCCACGGGAAGGCUCUUCAGGGAAGAAUCCGGCUGAUGUUGCCACGUUAGCGCCCAGGGUGCCUGUAAGUGUUAAAAGGAAAACAGAGAGCUGCACGCUGUCUCCGUGGGCACAGACACAGAGGAGAGGAGGCAAAGACCAGUGGAGAGGAAUGAGGUGAACUUUCAUGCA
rnacentral:lncRNA from 1 species